AGAGCGCGCACAAGUGGGGGAGGGGCAGAGAGAGAGGGAGACACAGCAGGCUCCAGGCUCCAAGCUGUCAGCCCAGAGCCCGAUGCGGGGCUCAAACUCACAGACCAUGAGCCGAAGUCAGACGCCCAAUCGACUGAGCCACCCAGGCGCCCCCCCUAUAAAGUCAUUUUAAUGGUGGUAGUAUCUGUCUCUCUAGUAAGACCAUAAAUUUCUUUACUAGUGCUGUAGGUUGGGGGUCCACACACUUUACUUAAAAUGGCCAGAGAGUACAUACGUAUUUAGACGUUGCAGGCCAUGUGGUCUCUGUCCCAACUAGUGGGUGUUGCCCCAGGAAAGCAAGAGCAGUCUUAGAUAAAUGGAUGAGCUGGGCUGUGUCCUGGUGAAACGUGACUUACAAAGCCAGACCGGCAGGCUACAGGUUGCCCACCGCCCUAGUUGAACCUUUAGGCUGGUAGUGUUCCCUAAUCACCAACCAAAUUUGGGCAUCUUUGCUCAGCUGCAUUUUCCAUAAAUUAAUCUCUGCAAUGGAUAUUGGGGAUGCGUAUAUUCCAAGUAGGGAGAACAUUCCUUUACUAAACAGUUAAGAAACAUGCUAAGGAUGUGAAUAGACAAAUCCCCUCGCCCCCCCAAAAGGAACUAGAACCAGCAAAUAAGACUUGGGAAAAUAGCUUUUCUAGCAGUUUAAAUACAGUUUGGGCAAUGAGAUACCAUCUUCUUUUUAUAAUAAUACUAAAGACUACUUAAAAAUCCCCCAUCAACAAGGAUCAAGCAAAAUGAACAUUCACAUCCUGAUGGUAAGAGUAUAAACUUGGUAAAAAUCUCUUGAAAGGCAGUUAGGCAAUAAUUCAGUUGAAUCUUGAUCAAUCAGUUGAAUCUUGAUCAAUCCCAGUAAGCCUACUCCUGGAAAUCUUUCCAAAGGUAACACCAUAUAUACACACAGAUUUAUGUAUAAGGAUAUUUAUUAAAAUAUGUAUAACUAACACAAACUGGAAACACACUAGGGAAAUGUUUAGUAAAUUAUUGUGUAUCUACGUUAUGGAAUACAUGUUAAGUAUUUAAAAUCUUGUUUUCCCAAUAUUUAGUGACAUGUGGUUCAGUAUAUGUAGAUAGCCUGUCUGAGUUCAGGCUGCUAUUAACAGUAUUUUUUCUAAUUGUUUAUCAGUUGAAAAAGUCACGUGGCCAGUUCACAAAUGAAGCACUUAACUGGUGCCUGGAUUUCAUGGCAGUUGAGAAAUUAUUUAUUUUCCUGUAAUAAAGUGUAAAUGUAUUUGGCACUUUUUUUGUUACUAUCUUAUCUAAGAGUUGUUCGAGCUUUUAACACACCUUAUCUUUUUAUGAUAACUGCGGCUAGAAUUUGAUUUCCUAAAUAUCAAUGCAUAAAAAAUUAUUGAACUUGAAAGACAAAAAUAUGCUUCUAUAUGAGCUCUAAACAUGUAUUUCAAACUUCGUAGAACAUAGUGUGUAAAACAUUUCUUUUUGUACUUUAAACCAUUUGGAGCGACUCUUAAAACUCGACAAUAAGAAAGACAAACAACCCAACUAAAACAUGAGCCAAAGAUCUGAGCAAACAUUUCUCCACUGAAGAUAUACAAAUGGCCAAUAAGCACAUGGAAAAAAAGUUCAACAUCAUCAGUCAUUAGGCAUAUACAAACCACAAUGAGACACCGUUUCACAGCUACUGGAUUGGCUAUAAUAAAAACGAUGAACAAUAGUGAGUUGUUGGCGAGGAUGUGGAGAAACCAGAACCCUCAUUUACUGCUGGAGGGAAGUCAAAGUGGUGUAGUGGCUUUGGACAAUGCGUUAGCGGCUCCUCCGUAAAGUUCGGCAUGGUUACAUACGACCCAGCAAUUCCACAGCUAGGUGUGUGUAUACCCAAGAGAAACAAAAACAUGUCUACACAAAAACUUGUAUACGAAUGUUCAUAGCAGCGUUAUUCAGAAUAGCUAAAAAGUAGAUCCCACCCAUAUGCCCAUCAACUGAUAAAUGGAGAAAUAAAAUGGUAUAACCAGACAAUGGAAUAUUUUUCAGUCGUAGGAAGGAGGUACUGAUUCAUGCCGUCACACGGAUGAACUGUGGAAAUACUAUGCUAAGUGAAAAAAGGCAGACACAAACUCUGUUUAUGAUUCAUUUAAAUGAAGUGUUCAGACUAGGCAAAUCCAUAAAGAACAGAGAGUAGCAUAGAGUUACCAGGGCUGGAAGGAGGGAAGAAUGGGAACAGGAAAUGAUCACUAAUGGAUGUAGUUUUCUUUUUGGAGUAAUAAAAAAUAUUCUGACAUUAAAUAGUGAAUUUUGUGAAUAUACUAAAACCCAUUGAAUUACAUACUUUAUUGUUUUUUAAUUUUUUAAAAAAGUUUAUUUAUCUUUGAGAAAGAGAGAGAGCAUGAGCAGAGGAGAUGCAAAGAGAAAGGAAACACAGAAUAUGAAGCAGGCUUCAGGCUGCGAGGUGUCAGCACAGAGCCAACAUGGGAUUUGAACUCAUGAACUGUGAGAUCACGACCUGAGCCAAAAUUGGACCCUUAACUGACUAAGCCACCCAGGUACCCCUGCAUUAUAUACUUUAAAAGGUAAAUUUUAUGGUAUGUGAAUUAUAUCUCAAUUAAAAAUUGAAAAAAAAAAACCCACAACAAUCCUACGUAUGGAUAAGUUAUUCAAAUACUUAGCCUCCCUAAUGGACUAGAAGACUUCAUCUGAAUCCAUAGCGACAAGCCAGCACCUACUAGGCACUCAUUUUUUUCUUUGAGCGAUUAAACAAGUGAGCUAAAUACAUACAUUAUCCUAAAUUGGAUUCCUUGGACUCAUUUCCCAGGGGUGAUAAAAUUGGGUCCCUAUGACUCAUCUCUUUGUGAUGAUGUGGUUGCUUUCCCUGCUGGUGAUUCUGCUGCUUUCCUUCCUGGCUUUAGCUAUCAGCCACUUACCAAAUAAUAUCCACUAGCUCAAGUGAUGUUGUAUGAGCAGUCUGGUCCUAAUGGAUUACGUGCCGGCACUUUGUUAACGAUCAUUCUAAGAUUUCACAUAAGGUGCCAUGGUUGCCUGGAUGAAGAGACUAGAUGGGAUAUUUCUGCAGUGAAAGCAUCUAUCACCAUGUCAGAUUCUAUGGUAGGAAGCGCCUUCUCAGAGUGAAGGAGGAAGCAUCUGGCAUCUGAAGAAAGGGGACAAGAUUGGAAGUGGUCAUUGCCGGAGGAAGAAGGGGAGCCGAGCUGAUGAGAGAAGAGAGGGGCCCAAAUUUUCCAAAGCUCUGUUCUGGCGGUCUUCAGUGUGUGGCUCAAGGACCCAGGCGGGGCCCUGAGGCUGCUCAUGCAUGCACCUGCUGUUAUCUGGCUGUUCCUCACACCGCCAGGUGGUCCUUGAACCCUGCUGCCUGGGUGAGAGCCACAUUCCAGCAAGUUCCUUCUCGGCACUCCUCAGAGGUAUUUCUGGACCACACAAGGUCUCUGCUCAUCCAGUCCCCUUCCAGAACCCGGAAUCCUAGUUCUCACUGACUCCACACCUCUAAUGCUUCUUUACCAGAGCACAGGUGUCCCUGCUCUCUGGAAGCGGAGCGUUCCUAUGAACACUUUCGAAAACCAAAGUGGCGGAAAGUGGACACAGCUUGCCGACAGAUGCACAAAAUCAAUGGAGACAAAUCACAGAUACUCAGAGACGCAGUUCAAAGCUCUGGAGGCCGGAUGCGGAGACGUGGAGUUGCUGAGGGCUGAUGAUAGCAGAAGGCUGCUCGAGUCUGGCACAUGGCUUGGGAAUGUUGUGCUCAGGAUGUGCUUCUAUCGUCUGGCAGAAUGUGAAGGACGCUCUGUAAUAACCCCUGAUAACACUGGAUCCCUUCUCCUUGGAACCACAGUCCCCUCCUAACUGAUGUUACGGGAUGAAGAAACACCCAAGGAACUCUGCCUUGGGAGGACGAAAUAAUAUGACCUGGGAUCACCUUUCCCUUUGAAUCUCAAAAUGUCCUCUUCUGUCUAAAAGGAUGCUUCACCACUUCGCAAAUGGUAAUAAAUGGUACAAGAAUGAAAAAAAAAAAAAUCUUUGACCUGGGCUGAUACGACCAAGAAAUGUGAAACAUACCCAAGGGAAACUCUGACCCACUUAGACUUCUACCAGAAAAAAAAUUGCCCCAAAUCCUCCAAAACCACCCCCACCCCCAGCAAACAAACAAAAAAACCCCAGGAUUUCAUAGUUCCUUCCUGUCCUAUUUUAAACAGGGCCUUAAAAAGACAAGUAAAAGAUAAAUUUAGCAAGGUUUACAAGUCAGAAGGACCCAUUAAGGAAGUGCACAAAAGGCCAUGUGAGGUUCUGCUAUGGAUAUUUGCAUCAACAACAACAGGGAAAUGGCCUUGAGUCCUGGGUCAGGACUCUCCCCCAGGGUUGGUAUAUAAGCCCCUCCCCCAGCAGGAGGCGGCACCAGACCUCCCUCACCUCCCGAGUCUCCCUCCUCCCCUCUCCCGAGUCCUCUCUGCCGACACCAUGGGGUGCUGUGGCUGCGGAAGUUGCGGUGGCUGCGGCGGCUGCGGCGGCGGCUGCGGCGGCUGCGGUAGUGGCUGCGGUGGCUGCGGCGGCGGCUGCGGCGGCGGCUGCGGCGGCUGCACCACGUGCCGGUGCUACCGGGUGGGCUGCUGCUCCAGCUGCUGUCCCUGCUGCUGCGGCUGCUGCGGGGGCUGCUGCAGCGUCCCCGUGGUCUGCUGCUGCCGCCGCUCGUGUGGCUGCGGCUCGUGUGGCUGCGGGAAGGGCUGCUGCCAGCAGAAGUGCUGUUGUCAGCAGAAGUGCUGUUGCAAGAAGCAGUGCUGCAGCUAGGUGGGCGGCCUGGCAUCUGGGCACGUGCUUCGAGCGACCCUGCUGUAGGUAAGACGUCCCCCUCCCUCCCGGCCUGCUCCUCACUUUUCAGUCACCAGCAUGACCGGAGCCUUACCCCCAAUCCGUCGGAAUCCCCCGCUCCUGUAGUUUCUGUCAUCCCAUCUGCGUGUAAUAAACACCAACCAAAGUAAUAAAUGUGUAGUCUCCUCUGUCAAUCGCAUUCGAAUCUCGUCCUCGACAAAAAUGAAUCGGGAUAGCUAAUGUUCUCCCUUCUCCAAACGCCUUUGACUUUGUGUUUAUUUAUGUCCUGGUUUUGCCACUGCAUUUGCUGUCUCUGUAAAUGCAAAGCAACCGUCGUCCUAAUAAAUUAGGCUGAACCCGC